rfam:Equus caballus chromosome 20, whole genome shotgun sequence.
UCAAAGGCUCUUUUCAGAGCCACCCACUUAUUAUGGAAAGCGCUG